AUUCACACGUUGAUAAGAUAAGUAAAAGUGAAAGAUGGUAAAGAGAGUCUCGGUUGGUGAAAAGAGAUCGUAUUGGAAACUUUGAAAAUGGUCUUUGAGUGUUAAUGGUCGAAUAAUUAGACCUUUACGGGUGAGCCCGUUAUAGCUUCAGGGUAUAACACCAUUGUAUUUUGGUGCGUACUUUUUGAGUUGAUAUUUGUGAGAAUAUCAUAAAGUAAGGUGGUAACACGUAAAUUAUUAGACGUCCUUGCA
rnacentral:ncRNA from 1 species